rnacentral:rRNA from 1 species
UACGGGGGGGGUAAGCGUUGUUCGGAAUUACUGGGCGUAAAGGGCUCGUAGGCGGCCAACUAAGUCAGACGUGAAAUCCCUCAGCUUAACUGGGGAACUGCGUCUGAUACUGGAUGGCUUGGAUUCGGGAGAGGAAUGCGGAAUUCCAGGUGUAGCGGUGAAAUGCGUAGAUAUCUGGAGGAACACCGGUGGCGAAGGCGGCAUUCUGGACCGACGAGUUGACGCUGAGGAGCGAAAGCCAGGGGAGCAA